GUAAAUAUCUUAUAUAUAUACUAUAUUCUUUACAACGUGGUCCCUUUUUGUGAAGAAUGAAGGUCAGAGCAUAUACAGCAGUUGAGUGACGAUAUGGUGAUCAUUGGAGCGGAUGCCGUUACAGUGAACGAAUGUAUAAAGCAGUUGAGUGCGGAAUCACGCCGACAGAUUAUUCCUGGAUCAACAGCUAGCUGUACCUGGCGAAUUUGUUGAACAAGUGCGGAUUUGAUGAUUUGAAUCCUCCGACGACAUCGAUGGAGCUCACUUUCCUACGAUAACCAAUUCAGUUAGAAAAUAAUACUUGAAAAAAUGAAAUAAAUUGAAUUACGUUUGCUGUCUUCUCACUGUAUGCGUGGUGGACCUUCACUUAAUUUCUUAAAGUUAUAAUUUUUUUUUUAUCCCUUU
rnacentral:lncRNA from 1 species